rnacentral:rRNA from 1 species
AGUGAACGCUGGCGGUAGGCCUAACACAUGCAAGUCGAACGGCAGCACAGUAAGAGCUUGCUCUUACGGGUGGCGAGUGGCGGACGGGUGAGGAGUACAUCGGAAUCUACUUUUUCGUGGGGGAUAACGUAGGGAAACUUACGCUAAUACCGCAUACGACCUACGUGUGAAAGCAGGGGAUCUUCGGACCUUGCGCGAUUGAAUGACGCGAUGUCGGAUUAGCUAGUUGGCGGGGUAAAGGCCCACCAAGGCGACGAUCCGUAGCUGGUCUGAGAGGAUGAUCAGCCACACUGGAACUGAGACACGGUCCAGACUCCUACGGGAGGCAGCAGUGGGGAAUAUUGGACAAUGGGCGCAAGCCUGAUCCAGCCAUACCGCGUGGGUGAAGAAGGCCUUCGGGUUGUAAAGCCCUUUUGUUGGGAAAGAAAAGCAGCAGGUUAAUACCCCGCUGUUCUGACGGUACCCAAAGAAUAAGCACCGGCUAACUUCGUG